UACGUAGGGUGCGAGCGUUAAUCGGAAUUACUGGGCGUAAAGCGUGCGCAGGCGGUUCGUUGUGUCCGAUGUGAAAGCCCCGGGCUUAACCUGGGAAUUGCAUUCGAAACUGCGAGGCUAGGGUACGGAAGAGGGAAGCGGAAUUUCUGGUGUAGCGGUGAAAUGCGUAGAUAUCAGAAGGAACAUCAGUGGCGAAAGCGGCUUCCUGGUCCAGUACCGACGUUCAGGCACGAAAGCGUGGGGAGCAAACAGG
rnacentral:rRNA from 1 species